CCCAGGUGGUCUCUGGGCGGGACAAAGCAGUGGCUAUCCUGCUGCUGGCUGCAUCACUGCUUGUUCAGCGGGCUACUCCGCGGGGCUCGCGUCCAGUUACUAUGUGCCCAGAUGUAAAGGCAGCAGUCGCUUGAAAGUCACCCAUCUGCAGUGGCAGUGUGUCUUUCCUGAUUCCAGGUGCUAAGAACGCUCAAGCCAUGGAGAGAGAUGCAUUUGGAGUUGUUUACAUUCAGACAAAGCUCAUCUGGUUGUUUGCAGCUAGUCACAAGGAAUAAGAAUAAAUGCUAUCGGUAUUCUGGAGCCAGCUUUCAAACAGAAUCACAAAGCUUUGUUAGCUGAAUACUGCUGAGAAGCAUGAAAAUAGCCUGCUGAAAGAAUUCACUUUGAAAAUGCCACAAAACAGACAAUGGAAAAAUGAGAUGAACAAGUGCGAAUCCAUCAUUCUUCUCAGGUUCUGGAAAAAUGCUGGUUUUCAGCUCCUGGAAAAUUCUCACAAGACAUCUGUUUUGUUUUAUAUCUUCAUUUGUUUCCAUUCAUCUUUCCUACUGUAGACACUGUCUAUGAUUUUUUUGUGUGGGGGUUUUGGCAAAGUGCAUACGAUUACUUUGAAUUUAGAGAAUUAAAUUGUAUUUAUCCACUGAAAGCUGUUUUUAAGAUCUAGCUGUGUUGUCACUUGGAUAUCUAGUUUAUUACUUCUACUUGCAAAGUAGUACAAUGAGAUACCAAACCACCAUAUUUUUUCCAUCUAUUUUCUCAAUUAUGGACACUUUUCAACUUAUUACUACAGUAGGGAAGUUAAAGGCUAUUUGAAUUAUUGGAGAAUAGAGAUACCUAGGAUCAGAAUUACCAAGUCAUAGACCGAAACUUUGGCUAAGACCUAAACUUAAUAUGGGUAAAUAUUGUUACAUUGCUCCCUAGAAUAUUGAUAUGGUUUGGAUUUGUGUCCCCACGCAAAUCUCAUGUUGAAUUGUAAUCCUCAAUGUUGGAGGUGGGGAAUGGUAAGGGGUGAUUAGAUCCUGGGGCAGAUUUCCCCCUUUGCUGCUGUUCUCCUGAUAAGAGUUCUGACAAAAUCUGGUUGUUUUAAAGUGUUUGGCACCUCCCUGUUCUCUCUCCUCCUGCUCCAGCCAUGGGCAUUGAGGCUCCUUUGUCUUCCUCCCUGAUUGUAAGUUCCCUGAGGCCUUCCCAGAAGCUGAUGCCAGCAUGCUUCCUGUACAGCCUGAAGAAUCAUGAACCUAGUAAACCUCUUUUCUUUAUAAAUUACCCAGUCUCAGGUAUUUCUUUAAAGCAGCGUGAAAACGAACUAAUAUAAAUAUCUUAAGCAGUGUUUAGCCCUUCCAGAAUUCUCUAAGUGGUGAAACCAGGGGACACUCUUAAAGGAAAAGACAAAUAUAAGCACAAAAUAAAAUAUAAAAAUAAAUACAUGUUUAAAGAAAAAAAGAAAUCACAACAAAUUUCUAUUUAAGCAUAGUUGACGAACAUAAGAAUAUCAUGCCAUCCACGAAAAAAAUAUUAUUUAACUACCUAACAUAUUCAUAAAACACUUUUUUCCUAGUUUUAAAAAAUGUAUUACUUUUAAAUUUCUUGUUUAUAUGGCAAUAAUUUUGAAAUAUCAUCUGUAGGUAAUGGAAAGAUCAUUAAACCAUCCUUUACUAUAGUUGAGUGAAAUUAGUUAUUUUUAUGAUUAUUGAUAGUUGAGGUGUAUAAAGCACAGGUGUCUCGAUUUUUUUAAUACUGGUACACAUUGUUUCUUGAAAUUUUCACAAAUUAUAUUUCACUUAACUCUUAUCAAAAGCUUAUGAAUGAUAUGUUUGUGAUAGUAAACACUGCAUUAUGGAUUACAUUUUGCAAGAGAACACUCUCUUUUGAUGACGUGUCAAUGAAAACAAAAUUCUUCCUUUAUUAUUUUACAUGUUUAAUGAUUGAGAUAAUAUUACACAGAACUGCUUCUUGCUUGCACUUUUAAAUACGUGUUUCUUCUUCAUAUCCUCAUACUUUUAGUGCUUGAUGUUUUAGGACGUAUUUACAUUGUGAUAAGACCUUUGGGCUGACAUCAUCAUGUUACGAUACUAGGUAGGGAGUAGGGUAUUCCUGGAGCCAUUUCUACAUUGGAAUGAGU
rnacentral:lncRNA from 1 species